UCAGGAUUGGGGUUCAUUUUCGUCGGUAGGGUUUGUUCCCUGCAUCCACCUGACGAAAGAAGCUCUCUUUCUUUGCAAUUGCGCCAUUUCAUCCGUCGAUUCUGGAACCAAAUUUUUACCUGACGAGAGAGUUAGCAAAACAGCUUUCCGCUGCACGUCGGAGAAAACGGCCCGGCGAAGCAUUCCUCUCCUCGGCUUCCCUCUGGCUGUCAGCGGCCAUGUGAAAGUUCCGGGAAUUGGCACUGCUGAAGACGAAACUAUUAACAGAGGCAAAUUUCACUAUUAGACUAUGCAAACUGUGAUAUAUAAUAAUAUAAUUCUUAAAAUAUGGUAGCAAACGAUGAACAGGAAGUAUAUAUUGCGCUUUAAUGUUUAUAAAAACGAGUCUGUUUGAGUGAUAAGGAACGAGGAAGCUAAUUAGCACAUUGCUCGGUUCCCAAAAGCAUUGGUAUGGUAACAAGGGCGAGCAGUCAUUCAGAGCGCUCCAGUGGAAGAUAGAGGUGCUAAUGAAGCGUGGACGGUAAUUGUGUAGUAAUGAACUGACUGAAAAAGGCUUAGGACAGGCCACUAAAGCCAUAUAUUACGGCCACAAAAGAGAUUUACACUUUAAAACUAAACACAACGGCAUGCCAGGGACAUUUUGAGAAUACUGAUGGCGGGGGACUAUGUUUGCCCCCAAAUAUUUUCAUUAAAUGGACACGAAAAGCCAUU